rnacentral:rRNA from 1 species
AAAUUGAAGAGUUUGAUCAUGGCUCAGAUUGAACGCUGGCGGCAGGCCUAACACAUGCAAGUCGAGCGGUAGCACAGAGGAGCUUGCUCUUUGGGUGACGAGCGGCGGACGGGUGAGUAAUGUCUGGGAAACUGCCUGAUGGAGGGGGAUAACUACUGGAAACGGUAGCUAAUACCGCAUAACCUCGCAAGAGCAAAGAGGGGGACCUUAGGGCCUCUCGCCAUCAGAUGUGCCCAGAUGGGAUUAGCUAGUAGGUGAGGUAAUGGCUCACCUAGGCGACGAUCCCUAGCUGGUCUGAGAGGAUGACCAGCCACACUGGAACUGAGACACGGUCCAGACUCCUACGGGAGGCAGCAGUGGGGAAUAUUGCACAAUGGGCGCAAGCCUGAUGCAGCCAUGCCGCGUGUGUGAAGAAGGCCUUCGGGUUGUAAAGCACUUUCAGCGAGGAGGAAGGCGGUAAGGUUAAUAACCUUAUCGAUUGACGUUACUCGCAGAAGAAGCACCGGCUAACUCCGUGCCAGCAGCCGCGGUAAUACGGAGGGUGCAAGCGUUAAUCGGAAUGACUGGGCGUAAAGCGCACGCAGGCGGUCUGUUAAGUUGGAUGUGAAAUCCCCGGGCUUAACCUGGGAACUGCAUUCAAAACUGACAGGCUAGAGUCUUGUAGAGGGGGUAGAAUUCCAGGUGUAGCGGUGAAAUGCGUAGAGAUCUGGAGGAAUACCGGUGGCGAAGGCGGCCCCCUGGACAAAGACUGACGCUCAGGUGCGAAAGCGUGGGGAGCAAACAGGAUUAGAUACCCUGGUAGUCCACGCUGUAAACGAUGUCGAUUUGGAGGUUGUGCCCUUGAGGCGUGGCUUCCGGAGCUAACGCGUUAAAUCGACCGCCUGGGGAGUACGGCCGCAAGGUUAAAACUCAAAUGAAUUGACGGGGGCCCGCACAAGCGGUGGAGCAUGUGGUUUAAUUCGAUGCAACGCGAAGAACCUUACCUACUCUUGACAUCCAGAGAAUUAGCUAGAGAUAGCUGAGUGCCUUCGGGAACUCUGAGACAGGUGCUGCAUGGCUGUCGUCAGCUCGUGUUGUGAAAUGUUGGGUUAAGUCCCGCAACGAGCGCAACCCUUAUCCUUUGUUGCCAGCGAUUCGGUCGGGAACUCAAAGGAGACUGCCGGUGAUAAACCGGAGGAAGGUGGGGAUGACGUCAAGUCAUCAUGGCCCUUACGAGUAGGGCUACACACGUGCUACAAUGGCGUAUACAAAGAGAAGCGACCUCGCGAGAGCAAGCGGACCUCAUAAAGUACGUCGUAGUCCGGAUUGGAGUCUGCAACUCGACUCCAUGAAGUCGGAAUCGCUAGUAAUCGUAGAUCAGAAUGCUACGGUGAAUACGUUCCCGGGCCUUGUACACACCGCCCGUCACACCAUGGGAGUGGGUUGCAAAAGAAGUAGGUAGCUUAACCUUCGGGAGGGCGCUUACCACUUUGUGAUUCAUGACUGGGGUGAAGUCGUAACAAGGUAACCGUAGGGGAACCUGCGGUUGGAUCACCUCCUUACCAAAAAGA